UUUCCGUAGGUGAACCUGCGGAAGGAUCAUUAAAAAAUUGGACUCCAUUGGUGAGUUCAUUAAUAAUCCCUACCCUUUGUGAAUUUGUUUGUUUGAAUAAUUUUUUUUCCAAAAAAAAUUAUUGAAUGUCUUUCCCUGUUUUGGUGGAGCUUGUAAAGUGAAACCAGGCAGGGGAAUGGCAAACAAUAAUUAUUUUUGAAAAAGACCUUUUUUUAAAAUUAAACUUUUUGUAUUCAUUUGUCUAAAAUUAUUUUAUAAUAUAAAAACAACUUUUGACAAUGGAUCUCUUGGUUCUCGCAACGAUGAAGAACGCAGCAAAAUGCGAUAAGUAGUGUGAAUUGCAGAAUACGUGAAUCAUCGAAUCUUCGAACGCAUAUUGCACUUUUUUAGUUUACUAAAAAAGUAUGUCUGUUUGAGUAUCAGUAAAAUAUUCUCAUAAAAAACAUUGUUUUUUUAUGGUUAUGAGUGUUUUACAACGAUAACAAGUUGUUUCACUUUAAAUUCUUUGUUAUCAAAAAAUCAUUAAAAGCUAAUUUUAAAGAUUUUUUAAAAUUGGAUAAAAUUUUCCCGUAAAAAGGAAUAACCUAAACAAUUUUAAAAAAUUAAAAUUGGUUUGAUUUUUUUUGAAACCCAAAGGAAAAAAAACGAAAUUAACUUGAUCUCAAAUCAGAUAAGAGUACCCGCUGAACUUAAGCAUAUCAAUAAGCGGAGGAAAAGAAACUAACUAGGAUUCCCUCAGUAACGGCGAGUGAAGCGGGAAGAGCUCAAAUUUGAAAUCUUCAAGGUUUUACCUUGACGAAUUGUAGUUUAAAGAAGUGUUUUCUGUUGGAGUUUUGGUAAAAGUUCUUUGGAAAAGGACAUCAUAGAGGGUGAGAAUCCCGUAUUUGACCAUUAUCUCCAGCUUUGUGAUACACUUUCAAAGAGUCGGAUUGUUUGGGAAUGCAGUCCAAAAUGGGUGGUAAAUUUCAUCUAAAGCUAAAUACUGGCGAGAGACCGAUAGCGAACAAGUACCGUGAGGGAAAGAUGAAAAGAACUUUGAAAAGAGAGUUAAACAGUACGUGAAAUUGUCAAAAGGGAAGCGUUUGACACCAGUGUUGUUUUCUCGAAAAUCAAUUAAAAAAGGCCGGAUUUUGUGUUGUAUUGACUUUAUCAGCUUCUGCACUUUUUUCUUGUCUUUUUUAAUGCACUUUUCGUUUAACAAGUCAACAUCAAUUUCUUUUGUUGUAAAAGGGUCAUUGGAAGGUGGCUUUCUUUUCGGAGAAAGUGUUUAUAGCCUUUGGCCUCUGCAAUCGGAGAGAUUGAGGUCUGCAGCGCAGAUCCUUCGGGUUAGAUACAUUUGUGCUAAGUUAUAGCCUUUCAUAGACAACUUGUUGACUAUGAUCAGUCAUGUAGCUUACUCGCUAUGCUAUUU
rnacentral:misc_RNA from 1 species